ACAAAUACAGAGAAUCCACUGUUCACAUGGACAGAGUCUCCCCUGUAUUUGCACAGCAUCUCACAGGUACAAGAUACAACCACAUACAUAUGAAUAUCCACAUACAUAAACCACAUCACAAUUUUCACUUUAUUCCAUCACAGAUAGAUAUAAAUUCACAUCUAUUAGUUUAAAACGUUUCUUAUCCGGAAACUCAUUUUGAAACACUAAGAAUCAUGAAACUACAAAAAACUUUUUUAAAAUCGUUUCCCACACGGAAAUCUUUUUUUUUUAAAACACGCUACCACGAGGGGUAGAAAACUGUUUUCAUCUCAGGAGAAAAUCAUAAAUCCUUUAUUACAACCACAAAAUCAUCCUUGUCCAAU
rnacentral:lncRNA from 1 species